rnacentral:rRNA from 1 species
CAGCCUGCCCAGUGACAAAGUUAAACGGCCGCGGUACCCUAACCGUGCAAAGGUAGCGCAAUCACUUGUUCUUUAAAUGAGGACUAGUAUGAACGGCAUCACGAGGGUUAUGCUGUCUCCCCACUCUAUUCAGUGAAACUGAUUUUCCCGUGAAGAAGCGGGGAUAAAUAUAUAAGACGAGAAGACCCCAUGGAGCUUUAAACUCAGUAUCAACUGCCUAACUAAAAACCUUAUAUCAUGCAGUCAUGCUUACUAGUUUUCGGUUGGGGUGACCACGGAGUAAAACUAAACCUCCACGAUGAAAGGAAUUAGCAACCUAACCUAUGAGCUACGGCUCUAAGUAUCAACAAAUUGACUAAAUUGACCCAAUUACUUGAUCAACGAACCAAGUUACCCUGGGGAUAACAGCGCAAUCCAUUUCAAGAGCUCAUAUCGACAAAUGGGUUUACGACCUCGAUGUUGGAUCAGGGUAUCCCAGUGGCGCAGCUGCUACUAACGGUUCGUUUGUUCAACGAUUAAA